rnacentral:rRNA from 1 species
GAGUUUGAUCAUGGCUCAGGACGAACGCYGGCGGCGYGCUUMACACAYGCAAGUCGAACGGAAAGGCCCUUCGGGGUACUCGAGYGGCGAACGGGUGAGUAACACGUGGGUGAUCUGCCCUGCACUUCGGGAUAAGCCUGGGAAACUGGGUCUAAUACCGGAUAUACCUCUUGGAUCGCAUGGUCUUUGGGGGAAAGCUUUUGCGGUGUGGGAUGGGCCCGCGGCCUAUCAGCUUGUUGGUGGGGUGAUGGCCUACCAAGGCGUCGACGGGUAGCCGGCCUGAGAGGGUGUCCGGCCACACUGGGACUGAGAUACGGCCCAGACUCCUACGGGAGGCAGCAGUGGGGAAUAUUGCACAAUGGGCGCAAGCCUGAUGCAGCGACGCCGCGUGGGGGAUGACGGCCUUCGGGUUGUAAACCUCUUUCAGUAGGGACGAAGCGCAAGUGCCGGUACCUACAGAAGAAGCACCGGCCAACUACGUGCCAGCCGCCGCGGUAAUACA